rnacentral:rRNA from 1 species
UUUCCCACGGGGCGCAGCAGUGGGGAAUAUUGCACAAUGGGGGAAACCCUGAUGCAGCGACGCCGCGUGAAGGAUGAAGUAUUUCGGUAUGUAAACUUCUAUCAGCAGGGAAGAAAAUGACGGUACCUGACUAAGAAGCCCCGGCUAACUACGUGCCAGCAGCCGCGGUAAUACGUAGGGGGCAAGCGUUAUCCGGAUUUACUGGGUGUAAAGGGAGCGUAGACGGCUGUGCAAGUCUGAAGUGAAAGCCCGUGGCUCAACCGCGGAACUGCUUUGGAAACUGUAUAGCUUGAGUACUGGAGAGG